GCCCCCGUAGCUCAGUGGAUAGAGCGACCGCCUCCUAAGCGGUAGGUCGCAGGUUCAACUCCUGCCGGGGGCACCA
rnacentral:tRNA from 1 species